UGCUGUGUGCGAGCAGAGUCUUCUAGUUGUUCCAGUCAGUGUCUUCAGUUCUUGUCUUGAGAUGCAGACUGCUGCUGCUGAAGAAAUAUUCUGAGUGUUUGGGAGAACCUGGUCCGGAACCAGAGAUCGACCAGCUAGAAACAACGAACAGAACAGAACAGAACUCCCAUAUUU